GUUAUCGUUUAUUUGAUAGUACCUUACUACUUGGAUAACCGUGGUAAUUCUAGAGCUAAUACAUGCUAAAAACCUCGACUUCGGAAGGGGUGUAUUUAUUAGAUAAAAAGCCAACGCCCUUCGGGGCUCCGUGGUGAUUCAUGAUAACUUCACGAACCGCAUGGCCUUGCGCCGGCGGUGGUUCAUUCAAAUUUCUGCCCUAUCAACUUUCGAUUGUUGGGUAUUGGCCAACAAUGGUUACGACGGGUAACGGGGAAUUAGGGUUCGAUUCCGGAGAGGGAGCCUGAGAAACGGCUACCACAUCCAAGGAAGGCAGCAGGCGCGCAAAUUACCCAAUCCCGACGCGGGGAGGUAGUGACAAUAAAUACUGAUACAGGGCUCUUUUGGGUCUUGUAAUUGGAAUGAGUACAAUUUAAAUACCUUAACGAGGAACAAUUGGAGGGCAAGUCUGGUGCCAGCAGCCGCGGUAAUUCCAGCUCCAAUAGCGUAUAUUAAAGUUGUUGCAGUUAAAAAGCUCGUAGUUGAACCUUGGCCCUGGCUAGCCGGUCCGCCUCACCGCGUGCACUGGUCCGGCCGGGGCUUUCCUCCUGGGGAUCCGCAUGGUCUUUACUGGUCGUGUCGGGGAACCAGGACUUUUACUUUGAAAAAAUUAGAGUGUUCAAAGCAGGCAUCCGCUCGAAUACAUUAGCAUGGAAUAAUGGAAUAGG
rnacentral:rRNA from 1 species